GACAAAUUUUAGGCAGGUCUUCUAAAUCUGUUUUGGGUAGCCCCGUUUGUUUA
rnacentral:tRNA from 1 species